rnacentral:rRNA from 1 species
AUGCAAAAGAAUGUUUUGCGUAUAUUUAAGGCAUCAUCUAUGUUUUCACCUCAAACAUUCCCUGUGACAUGCGAUCUUAGGACAACAACUGUAUGCACAGAAAUAUUUUUCCUUGCAAAUCUUAAGAACUAUAGUGUCAUACUUAAUAUGACUAGCCCAAAUUUUAUUUGUGAAUCACAAGGUAUUUGUGGCAUCUACUAUAUCAUUUGCAGAUUAUCCAUCACUACUGUGAGGUCUACAUCUUGCCAUUUGAACAAGAUGACUACCUUCGAAGUGCUCUUCCAAAUAUUAAUAUUUGAUGUGACUACCUCAAGAUAUCAUAAGGUAAUACUGGCAUCUACUGCAAAAUUUUGCAGACUAUCCACUAUUAUUGCAAGGUCUACAUCAUGUCACUUUGACAGAUGA